rnacentral:rRNA from 1 species
UACGUAGGGUGCAAGCGUUAAUCGGAAUUACUGGGCGUAAAGCGUGCGCAGACGGUUUUGUAAGUCAGAUGUGAAAUCCCCGGGCUUAACCUGGGAACUGCGUUUGAAACUACAAGGCUAGAGUGUGGCAGAGGGGGGUGGAAUUCCACGUGUAGCAGUGAAAUGCGUAGAGAUGUGGAGGAACACCGAUGGCGAAGGCAGCCCCCUGGGUUAACACUGACGCUCAGGCACGAAAGCGUGGGGAGCAAACAGG